ensembl:snoRNA U8 U8 small nucleolar RNA
UCAGCUGGUGGGAUAAUCCUUACCUGUUCCUCCUUUGGAGGGCAGAUAGAACAUGAUGAUUAGAGAUGCAUGAAAUGUUUAAAUUUAUCUAUAUUAAUAAUAAUUUUUUAAA